rnacentral:rRNA from 1 species
GACGAACGCUGGCGGCGCGCCUAACACAUGCAAGUCGAACGAGCGAGAGAGAGCUUGCUUUCUUGAGCGAGUGGCGAACGGGUGAGUAACGCGUGAGGAACCUGCCUCAAAGAGGGGGACAACAGUUGGAAACGACUGCUAAUACCGCAUAAGCCCACGACCCGGCAUCGGGUUGAGGGAAAAGGAGCAAUCCGCUUUGAGAUGGCCUCGCGUCCGAUUAGCUAGUUGGUGAGGUAACGGCCCACCAAGGCGACGAUCGGUAGCCGGACUGAGAGGUUGAACGGACACAUUGGGACUGAGAAACGGUCCAGAAUUCUACGGGAGGCGGGAGUGGGGAAUAUUGCAAAAUGGGGGAAAUCCUGAUGCAGCGACGCCGCGUGGAGGAAGAAGGUCUUCGGAUUGUAAACUCCUGUUGUUGAGGAAGAUAAUGACGGUACUCAACAAGGAAGUGACGGCUAACUACGUG